GUGUCUGCCAACAGGGAGCCGUGAAGGGGUCUCCACCAGGGGCUGAUGUGAGCUCACUCAGAGAUGGAUUUUAAACUCUUUAUUUUGAAAUAAGUUCAAACUUACAGGAAAGUUGCAGAAAUAGUACAAAAAUAGAGAAUUCCAAAAUACCACCUGCCCAGAUACCCAGUUCUACCAACUUUAGCAUUUUGCCACAUUUGUUACCUCAUUUUAUCUAUCGAUCUCUUUAUCUAUCGAUCUAUCUAUCCUGUCCAUCUGUCCAUCUAUGCUCUCUCUCCUUUCUGAGCAUUGGACAGUACAUCGUAUACAUCGUCCUCCUUGAACACUGCAUCCUGCGUUUCCUAAGAACAUGGAUAUCCCCUUAAGAAAGACUUUAAAUGCCGUUGUCAAGUUCCAGAAAUUCAGCAGCGAUACGAAGCUCAUAGUCUACGUUCCCACUUGUCACCUGUCUGCCAUUGACCGCUCGCCCGGGGUCACGCCUGUGCUCCGAAGGCGAUCGAUUACUGACGUCUGUCCCGGGUGCAGGAAGAGUGGCGUUGCUUCCUGGCUUGUACCCUGAACAAAGCAGAUGCUUCCUGGGGAGGGGGACACGGCAGAGAAGUGGGGGAUGAGAAGAGGGACAUGCAGGACGCAGGACAGGCGCCAGGCAUGGGACUGAGCGCAGCAAGGCUGGGGCCGGGGGUCUUCGGGACAAGGGGACCUCCACGGUGAGCCCCGAGCCUGGCUGCGUCCUCUCCAAAGCACUGCGCGUGUCAUGAGCUUUUGGGCCCUCAGAGCCUGGGACUCUGGUGUUUUCCUGUGACAUGGGCCCUGGAUGGGGGCCCUGGUCCAGGACGUCUCCCUGGGGUGGGAUCUGGGGGUCACCGUCAUUUCCUCCCUGCAGCCUGCGGCUCCCCAGCAC